rnacentral:rRNA from 1 species
GAUGAACGCUGGCGGCGUGCCUAACACAUGCAAGUCGAGCGAACAGACGAGGAGCUUGCUCCUCUGACGUUAGCGGCGGACGGGUGAGUAACACGUGGAUAACCUACCUAUAAGACUGGGAUAACUUCGGGAAACCGGAGCUAAUACCGGAUAAUAUAUUGAACCGCAUGGUUCAAUAGUGAAAGACGGUUUUGCUGUCACUUAUAGAUGGAUCCGCGCCGGAUUAGCUAGUUGGUAAGGUAACGGCUUACCAAGGCUACGAUGCGUAGCCGACCUGAGAGGGUGAUCAGCCACACUGGAACUGAGACACGGUCCAGACUCCUACGGGAGGCAGCAGUAGGGAAUCUUCCGCAAUGGGCGAAAGCCUGACGGAGCAACGCCGCGUGAGUGAUGAAGGUCUUCGGAUCGUAAAGCUCUGUUAGUAGGGAAGAACAAAUGUGUAAGUAACUAUGCACGUCUUGACGGUACCUAAUCAGAAAGCCACGGCUAACUACGUG